rnacentral:rRNA from 1 species
UACGUAGGGGGCAAGCGUUGUCCGGAUUUAUUGGGCGUAAAGAGCUCGUAGGCGGUUUGUCACGUCUGCUGUGAAAUCCCGAGGCUCAACCUCGGGCCUGCAGUGGGUACGGGCAGACUGGAGUGCGGUAGGGGAGAAUGGAAUUCCUGGUGUAGCGGUGGAAUGCGCAGAUAUCAGGAGGAACACCGAUGGCGAAGGCAGUUCUCUGGGCCGUAACUGACGCUGAGGAGCGAAAGCGUGGGGAGCGGACAGG